UUCCAGCGAUUCUCCUGCCUCAGCCUCCCAAGUAGCUGGGAUUACAGAAAAAUGGAUGGACAUGUUUUACUGCCUGAACGCUGGUGCCAGUUAGGCCAACAGUCAUGUGGCAAUGGCUAUGAAUUGCAAGCAUUGCUGAUUGUUAUCUGCUGCUACUGCCUUUGAGCUGGAGCGGAACAGAUCAACAUGGGCCAAACAAGAGCCUCUUUGGAGAUUUCUCUACUGCUUCAAGCACACAGAUUCCAAGUUUAGAAGCUCAAGAGAAGGUUGAAAAUAAAAUACAUUUAGUUUUUGUCAUCUACCUGGGAUUACUUCACUAUUGGAAAAGAAUAUCACAAGAUAAUAUAAAUAACAAAUUACCAUAAACCUAUUCUCGGUGGAUCCUUAACCUGUACAAAUGAGACCAGGUGUUAAUUUGAUGACUGUCAGAGCUGGAAGGGCACUAAGGCAUUAUCUAGUCCAAUGAAUGAUGGUCAAACUUAUCCCUAUCCCUACACUACCCUUUCCAGCCUCAAUUCUACUCUACUUCUACUCUACUUCUAUGAGAUCGACCACAAUUCUACUCUACUUCUAUGAAAUCAAUGUUCUUAGCUCCCACAUAUGAAUGAGAACAUGUGAUGCUAGUCUUUCUAUACCUUGCUUAUUUCACUAAUGUAAUGCACUCCGGGUUCAUCCAUGUUGCCGUGAAUGACAAGAUUGCA
rnacentral:lncRNA from 1 species